AAAUUGAAGAGUUUGAUCAUGGCUCAGAUUGAACGCUGGCGGCAGGCCUAACACAUGCAAGUCGAGCGGAAACGAGUUAUCUGAACUUUCGGGGAACGAUAACGGCGUCGAGCGGCGGACGGGUGAGUAAUGCCUAGGAAAUUGCCCUGAUGUGGGGGAUAACCAUUGGAAACGAUGGCUAAUACCGCAUGAUGCCUACGGGCCAAAGAGGGGGACCUUCGGGCCUCUCGCGUCAGGAUAUGCCUAGGUGGGAUUAGCUAGUUGGUGAGGUAAGGGCUCACCAAGGCGACGAUCCCUAGCUGGUCUGAGAGGAUGAUCAGCCACACUGGAACUGAGACACGGUCCAGACUCCUACGGGAGGCAGCAGUGGGGAAUAUUGCACAAUGGGCGCAAGCCUGAUGCAGCCAUGCCGCGUGUGUGAAGAAGGCCUUCGGGUUGUAAAGCACUUUCAGUCGUGAGGAAGGCGGCGUCGUUAA
rnacentral:rRNA from 1 species